GGGAGAACUCAGUUUCUUUCAGCCCCUGAACAUAAAGCUCCAAACUUUACUUUCAUUCAUAAGUUUAGCAAAUAAUAGAUUAUUUGCAGCGUGCCUACAUGAUGGUAUGUGUGGAGGUAGAUGAAAAGUCAGACCCCUGUGUUCGUGGAGUUUAUGCUAGUGAGGGUGAAGCUUUCCAUCCACUUUCCAUCUUCACCUGAUGCUUUUAGUUGGGCACACCGUGCGUUCUGUUUUGGCUUUGAUCUUGGCUUCCUUCCAGAUGUGUUGUCUUUGGUUUAGUGCAUCUCCAAGGACUCUUGGAGCAAAUUCUUGUCCCAUCUGACUGGACCCUGAAAAGAAUCGCUGUGUUCACCCAGUGGGUAGCCUCUGCCUUAUAUUUUGUCUGGACUCACUUGGAAACCAGGACCUGGAUAGUGGAUAUGAUGCAUAAAACUCAACCAUAAUGGGGAAUUAGGAAUUAUCUAUAAAAUAAAAUAUUUACAAAUACUCUUUGAGGUGCUUGAGAAAGAAGUACCAUCUU
rnacentral:lncRNA from 1 species